ACUUAAAUAGUUUAAAUAAAAAUUAUGAUUUGUGGAGUCAUAGAUAUAAAAAUAAAAUUUAUUUUGAGUU
rnacentral:tRNA from 1 species